GUGGGGAAUAUUGGACAAUGGGCGAAAGCCUGAUCCAGCCAUGCCGCGUGUGUGAAGAAGGUCUUCGGAUUGUAAAGCACUUUAAGUUGGGAGGAAGGGCAUUAACCUAAUACGUUAGUGUUUUGACGUUACCGACAGAAUAAGCACCGGCUAACUUCGUGCCAGCAGCCGCGGUAAUACGAAGGGUGCAAGCGUUAAUCGGAAUUACUGGGCGUAAAGCGCGCGUAGGUGGUUCAGUAAGUUGGAUGUGAAAUCCCCGGGCUCAACCUGGGAACUGCAUCCAAAACUGCUGAGCUAGAGUACGGUAGAGGGUGGUGGAAUUUCCUGUGUAGCGGUGAAAUGCGUAGAUAUAGGAAGGAACACCAGUGGCGAAGGCGACCACCUGGACUGAUACUGACACUGAGGUGCGAAAGCGUGGGGAGCAAACAGGAUUAGAAACCCCAGUAGUCC
rnacentral:rRNA from 1 species